UUUUUUUUUUUUUUUUUUUUUUUUUUGCUUUUUUAGGGUCGCACCUGAGGCAUACGGAGGUUCCCGGGCUAGGGGUUGAAUCGGAGCUACAGCUGCUGGACUAUGCCACAGCAACUUGGGAUCUGAGCCGCAUCUGCGACCUACACCAUAGCUCACAGCAACCAGAUCCUUAACCCACUGAGCAAAGCCAGGGAUUGAACCUGCAUCCUUUCUAACCUGCUGAGCCGCAAUGGAAACUGCCCCUGUGGAGUCUUAACAGCAGAGGCAGAACAGAUGAUGGGGUCAUACUCUACCAAGCUGUUGUUUAUACAGUAAAUUAUGUGUGGGUGUGUGGGUCUAAUUUUUUGCAAGGGCCUAUCAAUCCUUUGUUAUCUUCAUAAAAGUUUGAGUUAAAGAAUCCCUCUAGGGGAGUUCCCACUGUGGCACAGCAGAUUAAAGAUCUGGUACUGCUGCAGCUGUGGCUCAGAUUUGAUCCCUGGCCCAGGAACUUCCAUGUGCCAUGGGUGCAGCCAAAAAAGGAUAUGGAGGUUCCCAAAAGAAUCCCUCUAGGUACUGCUAUAUAGAGACAUAGUCAGGAGGGAUCCUAUUAAGGUGAAAUUUAUAAUACUCAGAAUUUAUAAAAAGCCAGGCAAGCAUCACCUUUUCCAGAAUUUUAUCUUAAUUUGUGUUUAUUUCCAGCUAGGUAUACAAUGUGGUACAUUAGCAUAAUUGAAGUGCUCCCACCUUAAAGAAGUUGGCUUCUACCCAUCUCUUGCUUCCAUCACACAGUUGCCAAUGUUUAAAUACCAUCUAUUUGCAUUGCUGUAUUCAUUAAGAAUGUUUUACAUUUCUAGUGUCUUGCAAAAGCUGUGCUCAGGAUAAUGCUGAACAGCACCUCCCCCCAUAAUUAACCCUAGUUCUCUGAUGCCCUUAGAGGUCUGCUCCCUCUGAGGACCUUAGAACACUAGCUCAUCCUGAUGAUGAAAUGUUAUGUGAUAUACAUAUCUGAGUAAUUUUUAUUGACAUAAUGAAAUGCUCACAAUAUCAUAUUUAUUUAUUUAUUUAUUUUAGGGCUGCACCCACAGCAUAUGGAGGUUCCCAGGCUAGGGGUCUAAUUGGAGCUGUAGCUGCCAGCCUGUGCCACAGCCACAGCAACAUCCUACACAAACUGCAUCUGCGACCUACACCACAGCUCACGGCAAUACUGGUUUUUUAACCCACUGAGCAAGGCCAGAGAGCAAACCUGAGUCCUCAUGGAUGCUAGAUGGGUUCGUUAACCGCAGAGCCAUGACAGAAACUUCCAAUAUCAUUUAUUUUUAAAAGAGUCUAAAACCAUGCAAUAGCCACUGUAUCAAAAAAUGUACUAGUGCACGUUAUCUUGUGGCUUAGCCAAUUAAGGCUCCGUCAUUGUCACUGCAGCAGCUCGGGUUGCUGCUGGGGCGCAGGUUUGAUCCCUGGCCUGGGAAUUUCCUCAUGCCAUGGGUGUGGCCAGAAAAAAUGUAAUGGGAUGGAAGUUUUAUUAUCUUAACUGCCGACAGUAACAUUCCUCUUGGGGGGAAAGUAUCUGUGCUUUAGAAAAUACUCUGAUAUAAGCCCUUGAGUUAGAGGGAAGACCUGAGGGUAGGAGAGGUUAUAGGAGCUCUAGCAACAGCAGGAAAUGGCUGAACUGCUCUGGAGGAGGCCAGGAGCAGGGAAACUGAGCAGGGAGUUACAAGGACAGCAGGGCAGAUGGUGGCUGGUGGGAAUUCUCUGGCAGAGAACUGUAAGAGGGCCUGACUGAUGUCUUCUUUGAAGCUACUUGCUGCAGUGUGCAACUUUCCUCCUCAGGCUUCAGCUUGCAACAGGCAGAAGGUUUGAUGUGAGUGGGUUUGUGUGUGUGUGCGCGCAUGUGAGCAAAUUCACACAUGCAUGGGUGUGUAUGUUGGGGGGCAGGAGGCAGACCAGGUAAAGAGCAGAGAUAGCAUUUGUUGAGGUAAAAUCUGGAACUGACUAUGAAAAAUAAACCCCUCAAUCUAGAAAUCUGAGGGAUGGCUUUGAACUUCUACAACGACUGAAAUGAGUCCUAGACUCAUUUAACCUAGACUUCAAGAUCUACAAUUAUACGGCUGGAAGGAAAAAUCAAAUUUCUGAUGAGUUAUCUCAGGGUGGGGAUAAUUUCCUUCUCUAUUAUUUUCUCUACUAUUAUUAUAGAAUCUUCUCUAUUAUCCAUGUUUUCUACAAUGAGGAUUUAUUAGUUUUAAAGUCAGAAAAGUUAUUUUUUAAAAAUGUGCUCAUUCUGAGCCUCCCUGGCAUCAGCCAUCAAGUUAGGAAGGAUUUAACAAAUCAAUCUCACAGUGAGUGUUAUGACUAAUAAGGAAUGAGGCUACAUGAGCAGGAACACACAUUUUUUUUGCUGCGGACUCUUGGAGAUGGUAGUUCCAUAAGACAAAGGAAUAUAAUUUCCAGGAGAGUAAGACAAGUAUGACACAAACCAAGCAGCUCCUUAUCCUACCCACCUGAAGACUGUUUCCCUUUAGCCAAAAAUAUGGAUAAACCCUUGAAAUUGAAGGAGGAACAUUGUCUUUCAUGAAUGAUGUCCAAGGAAAGAAGAGCUCUCCAAGGCCUGCAGACACUCACCUGUGGAAACUCUGGCUCUGUUUGGAAGAAUUGGCACUGAUAUUUCCUAUUGGGUCUUGAACUAUCACAAAUUGUUUUGUCUUGGAAUUUUUUUUUAUCAGUUGUUGGGAACAUUACUCUUUUUUGCCCUCCAGUAUGGAUAAAAUCCCAAAUAUCUUGAAGCCCAGGAUUUGGGGAUGUACUUUUCAUGAGGGCAAGAGACCAUGUUUAUCUUCCCCAGCUGCAUCCCUAGGACCGAGGAUGAAGCCUGAGACAUAGAAAAAGAUGUAAUAAUGACUAAUCAUAACUACUGUUGUAUUUACAAGAACAGGUCUUGUUCUAGAUAAUUUAUUUUUUAAAACAUUUUUUUGAGUGAAAAUUUAAAUUCUACUCUCUUAGAGAGUAGAGGCAAAGAGGGAGUGAAACAGGGGGCUCCUGUUUGGACUUGCUUAGUUCUGUAAAUUAUUUUUCUUCUCCUACCACGAGGAUGUGGUAGAAGUCAGUAAUUCCUUCAGAAUUCACCUGGGAACCCCUUGGAAAUGAACUAUAGAGAUAUUUGUGCUUCUCUGCAUGUGAAUAAAGGUUUGGAUCUCUGGAAUCCCUAUUCCAACUUCACACAUAAGAUGGAUUAUUUGGAUCAGCUUUGGUUUGGGAUUUGUUUGGAAGCAUAACUGCUAAGAGGCUGGGAGGCUGAGCAGGUUCCUGAAGAGGUUGCUCCCAUCCCUCAACACAAGAGGGCAGUGUUUCAACAGGCCUGAGCUUUUGAACACAUCAUAAAGUGUGCUUCCACUAUCUUCAGCAAAAAGCCUGUUGGACUGAUUAUUUCAGCUCAAGAAUUUAGAGUCCAGGGGAGGAUGCAUUUUAAUGACUCCAGGGAACAGAUCAAAUUAAACACAUUAUCCCGGAUUUUCUUCCCUCGCCUCCUUUCACCUGCCUUCUCUGCGGAGUCUGUCUGCGCAGUGUGGGUCUCGGCCCCUGUCCUGAAUCAGCCCCUCUGCAGAGCCACAGCCUUUGCUAAGGAAGGAAGGGCCAGAAGAGAUUUCCACAGCUUGUUUUGGUGUACUUUCUCCAAGGUCACCUUCCAGCAAGAUAACCUUAGGAACUGCUGAAAGUUGCCUGAUCAGCGGGCAUGUCUACAGCUGAAUAGGGAAAACCAAACCCAGACCCGAAGCUGGCCCAUCCUGCUGUGGGCUACCUACCUUUCCAAGGCUUUACAUAGAUCAUCUCUAAUCUUCCUAACAGUCUUGCAAGAAAAAUAGCAUUGCCAUGAGGCAAAUGAGGAAACAAAGAUAUAGAGGUUAAAAAAACCUUCCCAAGGUCAUGAACUAUUAAGUGCUGAGCUGGGACUCAGACCAGGAUGUCUGGUUCCAAAGCCUGGAAGAUACAUUGCAUUUCCCUCAAGCUAGGUCCCUACUUCCCUUAUCCCUGUAAGUAGCCCGGGACAUUUGACUAGAACAUGAAGUGCACACACUAAAUUUCCCUGUUUGGGGGCAAAAGCUUAGGCUGCUCCUUUGGGCACCUUGAGUGUCAACUUCAAGUUCUUUUUAAAAUUUUAAUGAUUUUUAUUUUUUCCAUUAUAGUUGAUUUACAGCAUUCUGUCAAUUUUCUACUGUAUAGCAAAAAGUGACCCAGUCACACAUACAUAUACAUAUAUAUACAUUCCUUUUCUCACAUUAUCCUCCACCAUGCUCCACAAGUGACUAGAUAUAGUUCCCUGUGCCUAUACAGCAGGAUCUCAUUGCUUAUCCAUUCCAAAUGUAAUAUUCUGCCUCUAUUAAUUCCAGAUUCCCAGUCCAUCCCACUCCCUCUCCCUCCCACUUGGCAACCACAAGUCUCUUCUCCAAGUUCAUGAGUUUCUUUGCUGUGGAAGGUUCAUUUGUGCCAUAUAUUAGAUUCUAGAUAUAAGGGAUAUCAUACGGUAUUUGUCUUUCUCUUUCUGACUUACUUCGCUUAGUAUGGAAAUCUCUAGUUCCAUCCAUUCAAUUUGAAGUUCUAUUCACCCUCCAUCUUCUGCAGCUCCUGGAAUAAUCUGGCAUUUAAUGGGUGCUCAGUUCUGUGCAGAUUGACUAACUUGCAUUUCUGUGAUCCCUUGGGUUAUUUGACAGAUUUACUCCUGAUGCAAACAUUUUUGUUUCCAUCUCACCUGUUUAUAGAAGUUGUUUCUGCCCAGCUUCUCAUUAAAACACUCUCAGAAACUUACAAGGAAGUGUUGUAUUUGCUUUCUCAACUUUAUUUUCACAGAUAAAAUUUACAAGUGAUUUUUUUUAAAAAGAGGCCGAACUAACUAAUCAAUCAAAACAAACAGCUGUAAUCUGAUUUUAGAGCAAUCUGCAUGAUAAGAACUGACCAAGGGGAAAUAAUUUCCUAUCACAGUGGGAUAACAUGCAAAUGGAAUUUAAACUCCAGGCUCUCUCACCUCACAGAAUGUCAGAGAAGUGCCAAGCAGAAUGUGUUUAUGAAUGGAAAAGUCAAUGGUGUUAUAUUUUAUCUUAGGGUCGUCUCAAUCUUAUUUUUUGUAAAGGACAAAAUAGCUCUAAACAUCUCUAAAUAUUUCACUCCAUAUGGCCUGAAUCCCAAACUUAAAAAUAUCUACCAACUGCCCACAGAGAAGGUUUUUAAAAGAAAGAAGCCAUUUUAUUGGACUCUCUCCUCAGAAAAAUUUUCCCCUGGGUAAAAUACAGGCUCCUUGCAAUGUCGCUGAAUCUUGCAAAGGCUGGAUGCUUGUUUGUUAGCUAGCUGUGUUAUGGAAGGUGUCCCACUAGGUGGAAAGUUGGACCAGAGGACCCCUGGGGAAGGUUCGGAGAUUCUUGUGCAUGAAGCACAUGAAUGGUGAUUGCCUGCAGUCUUAACGUAUAUAAUAGUAUCUUGCGAAGCACCAGGACCAGUGACCUGACCUGCUUGCCCUGUAUCCGAGGGCUCUUCAACUUUCCCCACACCCACUUUCCAACUCCUACAAAUCCAGAGAGGCCACAGGCUGUGAACAACACUUCAAAGGAAAAUGAGAAACACUACAAUCAUUCAAAAUGGGUUGCCACUGAGAGAAAUGGGUUAGGAAACCGUAGCUGUGCCUAAAAACGAGAAAGCUCCAUGGCUCUCUUCGCUAUCUCGAAAACCAGCUGGUACACGACAGAUGCAAUUUUCAGCCCAAGUCCUACAAUUCUUUUCAACCUGUAGCCUGCACAUCGAACACCUAGCAAAGGAACAGCCAGGCUGAUCCACUGAUGCCUUCCUCCAAAGCCUGCAGAACACUGCACAUUUGUGGUCACUCACAGGUGGGUAGAGCGGUGGCCCCCACAUCAAGUGGCGCUGGACAUUUCAUCCACUGUCAUGCUUUCCUUCACCUGUUAUAUUUCUUGAGCCUCUGUUGAUGUGCCAGGCACUGUUGUAGGUGCUUGGGAUACAGCUAUGAACAAGGAAGGGAAGAUUCUUACAUUCUAAUAGGAGAGAGAGACAGUAAAAUAAUGAAAAAAAAA
rnacentral:lncRNA from 1 species